rnacentral:rRNA from 1 species
UGAACGCUGGCGGCGUGCCUAACACAUGCAAGUCGAACGGAAGAUUAUCGCUGAUGAAGCUUCGGCAGAAUCUUGAUGAUCUUAGUGGCGGACGGGUGAGUAACGCGUGGGCAACCUGCCUCGUACUGGGGGAUAACAGCUGGAAACGACUGUUAAUACCGCAUAAGCGCACGGUGUCGCAUGACACAGUGUGAAAAACUCCGGUGGUACGAGAUGGGCCCGCGUCAGAUUAGCCAGUUGGUGGGGUAACGGCCUACCAAAGCAACGAUCUGUAGCCGGACUGAGAGGUCGGACGGCCACAUUGGGACUGAGACACGGCCCAAACUCCUACGGGAGGCAGCAGUGGGGGAUAUUGCACAAUGGGCGAAAGCCUGAUGCAGCGACGCCGCGUGAAGUGAAGAAGUAUUUCGGUAUGUAAAGCUCUAUCAGCAGGGAAGAAAGACCCAUUAAGGGAGAUGACGGUACCUGACUAAGAAGCCCCGGCUAACUACGUGCCAGCAGCAGC